GAUGAAGAACGCAGCGAAAUGCGAUAAGUAGUGUGAAUUGCAGAAUUCAGUGAAUCAUCGAAUCUUUGAACGCACAUUGCGCCCUUGGUAUUCCAUGGGGCAUGCCUGUUCGAGCGUCAUUUGUACCUUCAAGCUCUGCUUGGUGUUGGGUGUUUGUCUCGCCUCUGCGUGUAGACUCGCCUUAAAACAAUUGGCAGCCGGCGUAUUGAUUUCGGAGCGCAGUACAUCUCGCGCUUUGCACUCAUAACGACGACGUCCAAAAGUACAUUUUUACACUCUUGACCUCGGAUCAGGUAGGGAUACCCGCUGAACUUAAGCAUAUCAAUAAGCGGAGGA
rnacentral:misc_RNA from 1 species